GACGAACGCUGGCGGCGUGCUUAACACAUGCAAGUCGAACGGAAAGGCCCUGCUUUUGUGGGGUGCUCGAGUGGCGAACGGGUGAGUAACACGUGAGUAACCUGCCCUUGACUUUGGGAUAACUUCAGGAAACUGGGGCUAAUACCGGAUAGGAGCUCCUGCUGCAUGGUGGGGGUUGGAAAGUUUCGGCGGUUGGGGAUGGACUCGCGGCUUAUCAGCUUGUUGGUGGGGUAGUGGCUUACCAAGGCUUUGACGGGUAGCCGGCCUGAGAGGGUGACCGGCCACAUUGGGACUGAGAUACGGCCCAGACUCCUACGGGAGGCAACAGUGGGGAAUAUUGCCCAAUGGGCGGAAGCCUGAUGCAGCAACGCCGCGUGCGGGAUGACGGCCUUCGGGUUGUAAACCGCUUUCGCCUGUGACGAAGCGUGAGUGACGGUAAUGGGUAAAGAAGCACCGGCUAACUACGUG
rnacentral:rRNA from 1 species